rnacentral:tRNA from 1 species
UUGGGAUAUUGCCAAGUGGUAAGGCUGCGGGUUUUGGUCCCGUUACUCGGAGGUUCGAAUCCUCCUAUCCCAGU